rnacentral:misc_RNA from 1 species
AAGUCGUAACAAGGUCUCCGUAGGUGAACCUGCGGAGGGAUCAUUACCGAGUGAGGGCCCCCGGGCCCGACCUCCCACCCUGUGUCAACCGACCCCAUUCUGCCUCGGGGGAAACCGGCCUCGCUUCGGCGGGGGACGGGCCCCCGGCGGAACACACAACCCUGCAUCUCUGCGUCAGAGUCGCGAUAGCAAUCGGCCAAAACUUUCAACAACGGAUCUCUUGGUUCUG